UACAUAGGGGGCAAGCGUUAUCCGGAAUUAUUGGGCGUAAAGGGUGCGUAGGUGGCCAUUUAAGUCUUUGGUGUAAGUUCAGCGCUCAACGCUGUGAUGCUAAAGAAACUGGGUGGCUUGAGUGUGGUAGAGGCAAGUGGAAUUCCAUGUGUAGCGGUAAAAUGCGUAAAUAUAUGGAGGAACACCGGUGGCGAAGGCGGCUUGCUGGGCCACAACUGACACUGAAGCACGAAAGCGUGGGGAGCAAACAGG
rnacentral:rRNA from 1 species